rnacentral:ncRNA from 1 species
UUAAAAGCAAUGAAAAGAAGAGUAGGUAAAAUAGUUCAUUUUCAGAGAGCUCUGCAUGGUGAAAUGGAGCAAUGGAUUUUUAUUGAAGAAGGUCUUGGAGCUGCACACUGAGUCUACUUUGUAGAGGUAGGAUGUGACGGAAUACCCCGUUAUAGGUAUAGAGUAUCUCGUUUUUUGAUGUACUUGAAGAGGUGUAUACGGCAACGUAUGCAUAAACUGAGGUGGUACCACGAAUUUAUAACUUUCGUCCUCAAG